UUUAACUGAAGAGUUUGAUCAUGGCUCAGAUUGAACGCUGGCGGCAGGCUUAACACAUGCAAGUCGAGCGGGGGAAGGUAGCUUGCUACUGGACCUAGCGGCGGACGGGUGAGUAAUGC
rnacentral:rRNA from 1 species